AUGGAGGCCAAAUCCACCACCCCUCCGCCGCCGGGCCCCGUGCUGGGCGCGCCCGUCGGCUACCCGCCGGCCGCCGUCUACCCGGCCGCCCCGCCCCCCGGCUACCCGCACGCGCCGGCCCUCUACGCGCCCCAGCCGCCCCCCGCCGCCGUCGCCGCCGCGUCGCAGCAGACCGCCGCGCAGCAGCAGCAGCAGCUGCAGGUGUUCUGGGCGGAGCAGUACCGCGAGAUCGAGGCCACCACCGACUUCAAGAACCACAACCUGCCCCUCGCCCGCAUCAAGAAGAUCAUGAAGGCCGACGAGGACGUCCGCAUGAUCGCCGCCGAGGCGCCCGUCGUCUUCGCCCGGGCCUGCGAGAUGUUCAUCCUCGAGCUCACCCACCGCGGCUGGGCGCACGCCGAGGAGAACAAGCGCCGCACGCUGCAGAAGUCCGACAUCGCCGCCGCCAUCGCCCGCACCGAGGUCUUCGACUUCCUGGUGGACAUCGUGCCGCGGGACGAGGCCAAGGACGCCGAGGCGGCCGUCGCCGCCGGGAUGCCCCACCCCGCCGCCGGCAUGCCCGCCGCCGACAUGGGGUACUACUACGUCCCGCAGCAGUAA
rnacentral:rRNA from 1 species